rnacentral:tRNA from 1 species
UCCCUGGUGGUCUAGUGGUUAGGACUUGGUGCUUGCACUGCUGUGGCCCAGGUUCAAUCCCUGGUCUAAGAA